rnacentral:rRNA from 1 species
GAUGAACGCUAGCGGAAGGCAUAAUACAUGCAAGUCGAACGGAUGUAGCAAUACAUUAGUGGCGCACGGGUGCGUAACGCGUAUGCAACCUACCUUCACCAGGGGGAUAACUACCCGAAAGGGUGGCUAACACCGCAUAAUACUAUUGAGUGGCAUCACUUGAUAUUUAAAUCUGAGGAGGAUGAAGAUGGGCAUGCGUCUGAUUAGCUAGUUGGUGUGGUAACGGCGCACCAAGGCGACGAUCAGUAGGGGAACUGAGGGGUUGGUCCCCCACACUGGCACUGAGAUACGGGGAAUACUCCUACGGGAGGCAGCAGUAGUGAAUAUUGGUCAAUGGUGGGAACACUGAACCAGCCAUUCCGCGUGCAGGAAGAAGGGUCUCUGACUUGUAAACUGCUUUAGCAAGGGAAGAAAAAGCUCAUGCGUGAGAAAUUGACGGUACCUUGAGAAUAAGCACCGGCUAACUACGUGCCAGCAGCCGCGGUAAAAC